CUACAUGUGCCCUUGAUGACUUGGAUUGUCCCAGCAUUGCAAUCGUCAAACCUUCAGAAAUUGACUAUCCAUCAACAAAGCAAACAGGCAAGAAACAUUUUUCCUGGCAAAAACAAAAUAAAAAAUUAAUAAGCACAUAAAGCUAGAAAAAACAUCUGGAACUCUAGGGAACCAAGCUAUAUUCAAGUUUUUCACUAGAGGUUGCGGAGCACAUGACAAAAAGUUGCAGCAGCACAUACAUUUGUCGCGGAAACUUUGAAACAACACUAGCCAGUUAAGAGCGCAUCUUUCAUAACUUCUCUGCACAAAGGACAGUAAAUAAAUUGCGUCAGUUUCACUCUACUAUAUUACUUCUUGGUCUCCUGGUUCAUCAAUGACUAAUAAUCAUGAUUAAAGUUUUCUUCUCAAAAUAAUUUCAUAGGAAAUUUAAAAACAAAUUGGUUGUCUUUGAUUCAGUAAUAUAAUCAAACAACUUGUAUGUGUGUGUUUCGAUAUACCUUAGCAAAACAACAUAAUCUCUACGAAACUAGCAUCAACUAUAAGUAAAGAGAAUAGUUCAUCUCAAUGGAAAUCCAUAUAAUUAUAUCUAUACAUAGAAAGAGAGGAAGAUGAUACCAUUAGACAAGAGAGCUCAAAGAAACCGAGAGAAAUGAGUACGCCAAAUCUGAGCUUCCGUAAGGUUGGAAUCGGUUAAUUUAAUUAAAUACAAGGAUUCAGAAUAGUUCGCUGGAUAAUAAUGUGGAGGGAUGAGCUUCAGAAAGUUGGAGUUUAGAUGAUACUGUAUGGGUUAAUGAAACUCCCAG
rnacentral:lncRNA from 1 species